UACAGAGGUCCCGAGCGUUGUUCGGAUUCAUUGGGCGUAAAGGGUGCGUAGGCGGCGGGGUAAGUUUGAUGUGAAAUCCCGGGGCUCAACCCUGGAAUUGCAUUGAAUACUACCUUGCUAGAGUACCGGAGAGGAAACUGGAAUUUACGGUGUAGCAGUGAAAUGCGUAGAGAUCGUAAGGAAGACCAGUGGCGAAGGCGAGUUUCUGGACGGUAACUGACGUUGAGGCACGAAGGCCAGGGGAGCAAACGGG
rnacentral:rRNA from 1 species